rnacentral:ncRNA from 2 species
UAUGGCUUUUCAUUCCUAUGUG